rnacentral:rRNA from 1 species
UACGUAGGGCGCAAGCGUUAUCCGGAAUUAUUGGGCGUAAAGAGCUCGUAGGCGGUCUGUCGCGUCUGCUGUGAAAACUCGGGGCUUAACCCCGGGCCUGCAGUGGGUACGGGCAGACUAGAGUGCGGUAGGGGAGACUGGAAUUCCUGGUGUAGCGGUGGAAUGCGCAGAUAUCAGGAGGAACACCGGUGGCGAAGGCGGAUCUCUGGGCCAUAACUGACGCUGAGGAGCGAAAGCAUGGGGAGCGAACAGG